rnacentral:rRNA from 1 species
UACGUAGGGGGGCAAGCGUUGUCCGGAUUUACUGGGCGUAAAGAGCGCGCAGGCGGUCGGAUAAGUCGAAUGUGAAAGCCCCCGGCUCAACUGGGGAGGGUCAUUCGAUACUGUUCGACUCGAAGGCAGGAGAGGGAAGUGGAAUUCCUGGUGUAGCGGUGAAAUGCGCAGAUAUCAGGAGGAACACCAACGGCGAAAGCACUCUGCUGGGCCGACACUGACACUGAGAGACGAAAGCUAGGGGAGCAAAUGGG